rnacentral:rRNA from 1 species
AUGAUUAAGGGAUAUUUCGGCCGAAGGCUACCGUUGUGGAUGAUGUCAUCAUCAGAUGUGCCCCUCAAUAGCUUGAGGAUUCUGUUCAUUGAAGACCUGGCUUCUUGCACACAACUUCCUGAUGGCUUGUGUCAGCUCCUGUAUUUGGAGGUUCUUUCAGGUCAGACGUGCUCCAGCCAUCAAGCGCGUUGGACGAGAAUUCAUGCAGUCCUACCAUCAACACAAUCCUCGUCCUUCCCAGAUGGUGGCUGCAUUUCCAAGAUUGCAAGAGAUGCUUUUAGUUGGGAUGGUAGAAUGGGAGGAGUGGGAGUGGGAGAAGCAAGUGCAAGCCUUUCCUGUCUUGCAGAAACUUGUGCUAUCAAACUGCAAAUUGAAGUGUCUUCCUCUUGGCCUUGCUUCCCAGGCAAGGAUUUGAAUACAUUAUCACUACAGUAUGUGCAUGGUCUCGUUUCUCUAGAGAACUUUCCAUUGCUGGUUGAGCUAAACCUGUUUGAAAACCUUGACCUGGAGAGGAUCACUAAUUUCUCCAGACUGAAGAAGCUUGCGAUCCAUCACUGCUCAAACCUGAAGGUGUUGGAGGGUGUUCCUGCACUCCAAAGGUUCAUGCUCACGGAUAUACUCAUGGAGGCACUCCCAGAAUACAUGGGAGGUAUAAACCCAAGGCUUUUGGAGCUAUAUUGCAGCCUAGCGCUGCUCACAUCCAUAGCCGCGGGACAAUCUGGCCCUGAGUGGGACAAGUUCAGCCAUGUUGAGCAUGUCAAGGCAUAUGCACGGGAAGGAGGUAAUUCAAGGAAAUGGUAUGUCUUCUACACAGUUAAACCAUACAGCUUGGAGACAAAUGUCAGCCUCUCUUUCGUGUCAAGAGAAAAACCUUUAGCUACAUCUGCAGCUUGGUGA